CAUCACCUUGCUCGAGUUCUGCUGUUGUGGAAGUGUGUCUUUCCAGCAUCUCCUAAAGAUCUAGAAACAGAAAAGAGCCGAGGAGAUUCGUUUACAUGGCAGGUGACCCUGGAAGGACGAGCUGGUGCACUGUGUGCUAUCAAGAGCUUUGUUUCCCACUGUGGUGAUCUUCUUACUGAGGAAGUAACUCAGCGUCUUCUUCCACCACUUCCUUGUGCUGUGGAUUUGCUAACUCAGUAAGCAUCGACUGUUUAGAUUUGAUAGUUGCCCUCUGAUUAUGUAAUAUUCCUUAAGUACAUUAAUAAGGCAAAUUUCUGUAGUUGGUGAAUGAUUUUAUGGAGGAAGGCAAUCAGUUAGUUAUAUGAUUUUUUUUUAGGCUAGGAUCUUGAAAGAAAUUACAUAUUAAAAGGGAAGGAAAAUUUUAGGGGAAUAAUCUACCUUACAUACAGGCAGAUUUAACAAGAAAUUAACUAUUAAGCCUCUUAACCU
rnacentral:lncRNA from 1 species